AGCAUGUUAGCUCAUGAGGAAGAGCGCCGGGCUCAUAACCCGGAGGCCCCUGGAUCGAAACCAGGACAUGCUA